UGGUGGAGUGAUUUGUCUGGUUAAUUCCGUUAACGAACGAGACCUCAGCCUGCUAACUAGCUACGCGAACAUUCGUGUUCGCGGCCACGCUUCUUAGAGGGACUAUCGGCGUUUAGCCGGCUGGAAGUUUGAGGCAAUAACA
rnacentral:rRNA from 1 species